rnacentral:rRNA from 1 species
GAUGAACGCUAGCUACAGGCUUAACACAUGCAAGUCGAGGGGAAACGACAUCGGAAGCUUGCUUUUGAUGGGCGUCGACCGGCGCACGGGUGAGUAACGCGUAUCCAACCUGCCCACCACUUGGGGAUAACCUUGCGAAAGUAAGACUAAUACCCAAUGAUAUCCCACGAAGGCAAAGAUUUAUUGGUAAAGGAUGGCGAUGCGUCCCAUUAGUUAGUUGGCGGGGUAACGGCCCACCAAGACGACGAUGGGUAGGGGUUCUGAGAGGAAGGUCCCCCACAUUGGAACUGAGACACGGUCCAAACUCCUACGGGAGGCAGCAGUGAGGAAUAUUGGUCAAUGGGCGAGAGCCUGAACCAGCCAAGUAGCGUGCAGGAUGACGGCCCUAUGGGUUGUAAACUGCUUUUAUAAGGGAAUAAAGUGAGCCUCGUGAGGCUUUUUGCAUGUACCUUAUGAAUAAGGACCGGCUAAUUCCGUG